GGUUGAAUACUGUGAAUGAUGAUACGUUGUUGGAGCGAAUUAUUGAUCGCAAGCUACUGUUUAAUUUUACGGUAUAAAACAGUAUUUUUUAAGUCUAGUCACGUGUGCGACGCUGUUACCUGAGACAGCUCAUAACUCCUCAGAGCCACGACGCAUCAUGAUCAAGGGAGGAAGAGUUCAAGAAGACGAUUUUUUUUCGCCCCGACUGUGAGCUGCCAGCACCACCAAACUGAACGACAUAUUCUAGCGGCAUGGUGAUUUCCUCAUCGCCUACUUAAGAGUCAGUGAGGGAGCAGCUGCAGCAAACAGGAACUCGAGUCCAGACUGAUAAUAUUUUUCAGGAUUUGUGUCUGCUACUAUAGCAGAUGUUGAGUGCACCCUGACCCUCCCCGCCACUCCACGACUGAUACUGCUGUGUCCUGGUGAUGAAGCCACAACUGGUGGAUGUAUGAUCAGCAUCGAAAACCAUGUCAUCUGUGAAGGUGUCCGCCAAAGCUUCAUCACAGGGCUGGCUGCAGUUUUCGCAACAUACUAUGUCUUUAACUUAUAGUACCAAGAGGAAGCCUCAAGGACCCUGGAGUUUGUUCAAAGGCGCUUCAUUGGUUUGAACCCUGAGAGAGGAACAAAGGCCAGCCAGGUGAAGGUGGUAUCCAAGAAGACAGGGAAACUUGUCCAUAAAAAAGGCUGCAACUGUGAAUCCCCAUAUGGCCACCCUCAUUAAAAACCUUUUGGACUAUGAGUGGGGCUUUGUUCAGUAAUGCAAAGUCAGAGCAGUGAGUUCUGCAACUAUAGUAGAUGUUCAUGUGAAGUAACAGCAUUCUGUUCUACAACCACAUCUUCGUGCAAACUCACAGCAUUCUGUUCUGCAACCAGAUGUUCCUAUGAAGUCUGCGCAGUGUUCUGCUAAUCAGUGUUCAUGUGAAAUCACAGCACUUUGUUCUGGAACCACAUCUUUAUGUAAACUCAGCAUUGUGUUCUGCAAUCACAUCUUCGUGUAAAUUCAUAGCAUUCUGUUCUGCAACCAAAUGUUCACGUGAAGUCAGAGCAUUGUGUUCUGUUCGAUCGCAAUGGUGAAGUGGAAAUGAUGUUAAUGAAUGCAUUUCAUAUACUAUUGACUUUAAUAAAAGCUUAAUGUUUUAAAGCCA